ensembl:snoRNA SNORA73 Small nucleolar RNA SNORA73 family
CCAACGUGGACACUCCCGGGAGGCCACUCUCCCUGGGCUCUGUCCAGGUGGCAUCGAGGAGCACAGGGCUCAGUGCCCCUUGACGGACAGUCCUUUUCCACAACGUCAGAGAUCAAGCCGGGCCUUGAACCUGUGCCUGCAUAUUCCCACAGCUUCUCAGAGUCCCUUGGACAAUGACUGAGGAGACAAACCAGGCAGGAAACAUGU